UGGGGAAUAUUGCACAAUGGGCGCAAGCUUGAUGCAGCAACGCCGCGUGAGGGAUGACGGCCUUCGGGUUGUAAACCUCUUUUAGCAGGGAAGAAGCGAAAGUGACGGUACCUGCAGAAAAAGCACCGGCUAACUACGUGCCAGCAGCCGCGGUAAUACGUAGGGUGCAAGCGUUGUCCGGAAUUAUUGGGCGUAAAGAGCUCGUAGGCGGUCUGUCGCGUCUGCUGUGAAAUCCCGAGGCUCAACCUCGGGCCUGCAGUGGGUACGGGCAGACUAGAGUGCGGUAGGGGAGAAUGGAACUCCUGGUGUAGCGGUGGAAUGCGCAGAUAUCAGGAAGAACACCGAUGGCGAAGGCAGUUCUCUGGGCCGUAACUGACGCUGGGGAGCGAAAGCGUGGGGAGCGAACAGGAUUAGAUACCCUGGUAGUCCACGCCGUAAACGUUGGGCGCUAGAUGUGGGGACCAUUCCACGGUUUCCGUGUCGCAGCUAACGCAUUAAGCGCCCCGCCUGGGGAGUACGGCCGCAAGGCUAAAACUU
rnacentral:rRNA from 1 species